UUUUUGUUGCCUUUAAAAUCUGCAGAUAAAAGUAACCUUUGAUUAAGGAUAAUACGCUUUAUAUCAUAGUUUUAUCAGUAUUCAGCAAAACAUUCAGAAAAAUCUGAGCUUAAAUAUUGGCCUUAACAUUUAAUAGAUUACGAUACAUGGCAAGUUACUUGGCCUCUCCAAGUCUCAUAUUUCUCAUAUAAAAUGAUACUGGUUGUCUCCCUUUUCGCUAAAAAUGUAGAACUAGUUAAAUUCCUACGGUAAACUCAUCUUUUCAACUCACCAAAUCUAAAGAGAAUAAUUGGUUGAUUAAUUCAUUCAUAUAUUCAGAGUGAUGAACGUGCCAGGUAC
rnacentral:lncRNA from 1 species